rnacentral:rRNA from 1 species
UACGUAGGGUGCGAGCGUUAAUCGGAAUUACUGGGCGUAAAGCGUGCGCAGGCGGCGCGUUAAGACAGGUGUGAAAGCCCCGAGCUUAACUUGGGAAUUGCGCUUGUGACUGGCGUGCUGGAGUGUGGCAGAGGGAGGUGGAAUUCCACGUGUAGCAGUGAAAUGCGUAGAGAUGUGGAGGAACACCGAUGGCGAAGGCAGCCUCCUGGCCAGCA